CCGGCACGGUGGAGUAACACGUAUCCAACCUGCCGUCUACUCUUGGCCAGCCUUCUGAAAGGAAGAUUAAUCCAGGAUGGCAUCAUGAGUUCACAUGUCCGCAUGAUUAAAGGUAUUUUCCGGUAGACGAUGGGGAUGCGUUCCAUUAGAUAGUAGGCGGGGUAACGGCCCACCUAGUCAACGAUGGAUAGGGGUUCUGAGAGGAAGGUCCCCCACAUUGGAACUGAGACACGGUCCAA
rnacentral:rRNA from 1 species